rnacentral:rRNA from 1 species
AGGGAAUCUUCCGCAAUGGACGAAAGUCUGACGGAGCAACGCCGCGUGAGUGAAGAAGGCCUUCGGGUCGUAAAACUCUGUUGCCGGGGAAGAACAAGUGCCGUUCGAACAGGGCGGUGCCUUGACGGUACCCGGCCAGAAAGCCACGGCUAACUACGUGCCAGCAGCCGCGGUAAUACGUAGGUGGCAAGCGUUGUCCGUAAUUAUUGGGCGUAAAGCGCGCGCAGGCGGCUUCUUAAGUCUGAUGUGAAAUCUUGCGGCUCAACCGCAAGCGGUCAUUGGAAACUGGGAGGCUUGAGUGCAGAAGAGGAGAGUGGAAUUCCACGUGUGGCGGUGAAAUGCGUAGAGAUGUGGAGGAACACCAGUGGCGAAGGCGACUCUCUGGGCUGUAACUGACGCUGAGGCGCGAAAGCGUGGGGAGCAAAC